rnacentral:tRNA from 1 species
GAGGGUAUAGCUCAAGUUGGUAGAGCGUGUGCUUAGUAUGCACAAGGUCCUGGGUUCAAUCCCCAGUACCUCUG